AUCUGGUUGAUCCUGCCAGUAGUCAUAUGCUUGUCUCAAAGAUUAACUGCAUGUCUAAGUACAUGCUACAUAGUGAAACCGAAAAGCUCAUUAAAUCAGUUAUGGUUCCUAGAUCGUACAAUCCUACUGGAUAACUGUGGUAAUUCUAGAGCUAAUACAUGAAGCACGGCUCUGACCUCGCGGAAAGAGCGCGUUUAUUAGAUCAAAACCAGUCGGUUCGCAAGGGCCCGUCGGAUUGUGAGACUGGAUAACUUUGUGCUGAUCGACGGGCCCCGCGCCAGCGACAUUCUUUCAAAUGUCUGCCUAUCAACUUUCGAUGGUACGUGAUAUACCUACCAUGGUUGUAACGGGUAACGGGAAUCAGGUUCGAUUCCGGAGGAGGAGCAUGAGAAACGCUACCACAUCCAGAAGGCAGCAGGCGCAAAUUACCCUCCUGGCACGAGAGUAGUGACGAAAAAUAACAAUACAGGACUCUUUCGAGGCCCCGUAAUUGGAAAAAGUACACUAAACCCUUUAACGAGGAUCUAUUGGAGGGCAAGUCUGGUGCCAGCAGCCGCGUAAUUCCAGCUCAAUAGCGUAUAUUAAAGUUGUUGCAGUUAAAAAGCUCAUAGUUGGAUCUCAGGUCCAGGCUUGCGGUCCGACGCCUGUCGGUUACUGCUCGUCUGACCUACUCCGUUUUCGCCUUGGUGCUCUUGACUGAAGUGUCUCGGUGGCCGGAACGUUUACUUUGAAAAAAUUAGAGUGUUCAAAGCAGGCAAUAUCGCUGAAUAAUGGUGCAUGGAAUAAUGGAAUAGGACCUCAGUUCUAUUUUGCUGGUUUUCGGAGCUCAGUAAUGAUUAGAGGACGCUGAGGGCAUUCAUUGCAUUACGGUUAGAGGUGAAAUUCUUGGAUCGCCGUAAGACGAACUACUGCGAGCAUUGCCAACAUGUUUUCAUUAGUCAGAACGAAGUCAGAGGUUCGAAGACGAUCAGAUACCGUCGUAGUUCUGACCUAAACGAUGCCAACUAGCGAUCCCCGGGUUGCUAAUGACUGGAGCGCCCGGAAACCAAAGUUUUGGGUUCGGGGAGUAGAUUACUAGCUGAACUAAAGGAAUUGACGGAAGGGCCGCCAGGAGUGGAGCCUGCGGCUUAAGUUGACUCAACACGGGAAAACUCACCGGCGGACACUGUAAGUUGACAGAUUGAAGCUCUUUCUUGAUUCGGUGGGUGGUGGUGCAUGGCCGUUCUUAGUUGGUGGAGCGAUUUGUCUGGUUAAUUCCGAUAACGAACGAGACUCUAGCCUACUAAAUGGUUCGCCGAUCCCCCAUUUGCGUCGGCGCAACUUUAGAAGAGGACAAGUGGCGUUUAGCCACACGAGAUGAGCAAUAACAGGUCUGUGAUGCCUAGAUGUUCGGGCCGCACGCGCGCUACACUGAAGGAAUCAGCGUGUCUCUGCCCUUGCCUGGAAAGGUCAGGGUAACCCGUUGAACCUCCUUCGUGCUGAGGAUUGAGCUGUAAUUCUUCCCAUGAACGAGGAAUUCCCAUAGCGCAGGUCAUAAGCUCGCGUUGAUUACGUCCUGCCCUUUGUACACCGCCCGUCCGCUACUACCGAUUGGGCGUUUAGUAACGCCUCGGAUUGGACCGGAAAUGAUUUGCAACAACCGUACCGGUGUGCCGAAAAGACGCGCAAACUGAACGCCUAGAGAGUAAAAGUCGUAACAAGGUUUCCGUAGGUGAACCUGCGGAAGGAUCAUU
rnacentral:rRNA from 1 species